UCUCCCUUUCAGCAGUACAUUGUAUUACAACAAAUGGACAGAGGAGUUGACUAUUGAUAGUGACUGAUAAUGGACUGGAGUAACCUAGGGUUCAAUGACUCCACGCCUGACAGUCCAUGUGUACAUAAUUAGCUCCUCAGAUGUAAGUGGAAGGGAAGCUAUAUACAUAAUAUGUUUGAAAAGAAAGUAACAACAGGAUUCAGAUAUAGAGGAAAUCCUAUAGCUACAGUAUAUGUAACUGCAACUGUAUUCCAAGAGUCUGAUGGCUGAUAAUGUAUUCAGGAUUUUAUCAUUCAAGCAACAUCUAAGAAGGAUAAGUGCAAAUGUAUAAAGGAAGCCUUGGGUACAAAUAGCAAUUACAGCUGCAAUUACAUGCAGGAGAGAACUCUUAGACAUUACUAACAGACAUGUAGUCAUGAUAUGGGAGUGGUGUAUUCAAGAAAUCUGAAACACAUGGAAUUAAAUAUUGUGUAUAUUUUUUCAACCAAAAUUACUUUCAGAAUAUAAUACAAUUCAAAUUCAAAAUAUUGUGUCAACAUGACAAUUAUAGUCUUAAAAUGGAAAAUGCAUGUUUUUAAACUGAAUUUUAUAUAAAUAUUUGAAAUAACAAGAA